AUCUCAUUGGGCAGCAACGUUGUCCAUCACACACUCUGCAUUGUGAUUGGUCGGUUGAUUUUGAAGACUCGCUGUACAGAAAGACAGCUGGGAGCGAAAACAAAACACACACAUAUGGACCUGGAAAAAGAAGAUGUGCUGCGCUGCUAAAUAAUCUGCUGUGCUGUGAACCCAAGGAAAAGUCGUUGAGUGGUCUCUUCAGUCUGCUGAGGUUGAGCUGAAUAGAUGAGAAAGAAAUGUUCAGCAGGAACAACAAAAAAAUAGAUGGCCAAAAGACUGCGCUACCCACUGAAGAUAUCAGCCAGACCCUGGCUCACCCAAGGAUGACCAAAAUGGGUUGCAGUCGUUUGACCUAUCUUGGCUGCCAGUGCUCUGACUUAGAGCCAUCAGCAGCUAGCUUUCUAGCUUGCCACUGUGGAGAGAUUCAGGUACAUCAUGCACUAUGGCACAUGGGAUGGAUGGGCAUCGGUUGAGAAGGCAUUUGGUGAGGUGAUCGUGGUCAAAUAAGUUCUCAUACACAAAUACUGCUGAAAGACUAAAGUAAUGAAAUGCUCAGCAUUGUUCUACAGCUGUGUGGAACACUGUUAGACACUUCUUUUAAGAAGUUUCACUGAGAAGAGACACAUUAAUAAACUGUCUUUACACUACCAGCUGAAAUAGUCAGUUGUUACAGGUUGCUUAAGGCAAUCUGAAUUUUUUUCUGAAGAGAUCACUAUUGUCAGAAAUGUUAAAUGUUAUCAUGAUUCUGUGCAAACUGUGCUUUAUAAAGUGCUGCUGUGUUGUAUACUAAUGGUGGUGAUUUGAAUAAAGGCCUUUUUUCAAUGUUUUCAAAAGUGUCGAUAAAUAUGCUCCAGAAUACCUCCAGUAUUGCUCAUUUUUGUUUUCAAAGGAGGUCUCAAAUAAAGCUCUGCCAUGUCUCAAGUAAGGCUCCUGUUGCUAGCUGUCAUGUCUCACCUAUUGCACCUACUGAAUUUUAGGAGAAAUAAACGAUAAAUCUCAGUUUCUUUCUCCCCCAUGCUGGAAAGGAGCAAGCUUUGAGCAGUAAAAUUUUCCUCCGGGUGGGUUUGUUAUUGUUGUUUAAAUAGCUCCAGUAUUGCUCAUUUUUGUCUCCAAAGGAAAGCUCAAAUAAAGCUCCGUCAUGUCUCAAGCAAGGCUCCUGUUGCUAGCUGUCAAGUCUCACCUAUUGCUCCUAAGGAAUUUUAGGAGAAACAAAUGAGAAAUCUCAGUUUUGUCUCCCCAGUGUUAGUAAAAUUUUGGCUCCGGUAUUGCUCAUUUCUGUCUCCAAAGGAGGGCUCAAAUAAAGCUCUGUCAUGUCUCAAGCAAGGCUCCUGUUGCUAGCUGUCAAGUCUCACCUAUUGCUCCUAAGGAAUUUUAGGAGAAACGAAUGAGAAAUCUCAGUUUUGUCUCCCCAGUGCUGGUAAAGUGAUGGCUCCAGUAUUGCUCAUUUUUGUCUCCAAAGAAAGGCUCAAAUAAAGCUCUGUCAUGUCUCGGGCUCCUGUUGCUAGCUGUCAGGUCUCACCUAUUGCUCCUAAGGAAUUUUAGGAGAAACAAAUGAGAAAUCUCAGUUUUGUCUCAAGGUUUGAGCAGUAUAAGUCUAAAGUCUCACCUAUUGCUCCUAAGGAAUUUUAGGAGAAACGAAUGAGAAAUCUCAGUUUUGUCUCCCCAGUGCUAGAAAGGAGCAAGGUUUGAGCAGUAAAAGUCACAAGUCACACCUAUUGCUCCUAAGGAAUUUUAGGAGAAACAAAUGAGAAAUGUUUGAGACCAAAAAAGACUACAAGACUGAAAUGAGAACUCUCAUUGAGCUCCUUUACAGCUCCAUAGCCAUAAAGGAGCAAGCUUUGAGCAGUAAAAUUUUCCUCUGGGCAAGGCUGCAGCAACUAAUCCUGAUUAACCUCAAACAAUUCUACAAGCAGACAAACAACAAAGCCCUGAUAUGUCUGUACAUUUUUUGGGGGGAGCUGAUAGAGAUGGCCAUUCC
ensembl:lncRNA